rnacentral:tRNA from 1 species
UGUAAAAUGGCAGAAAAAUGCGUAAACUUUAAGCGUUUAUUAUGACUAAAUUUGUCUUUUACAA